GAUGAACGCUGGCGGCGUGCCUAAUACAUGCAAGUCGAGCGAACAGACGAGGAGCUUGCUCCUCUGACGUUAGCGGCGGACGGGUGAGUAACACGUGGAUAACCUACCUUUAAGACUGGGAUAACUUCGGGAAACCGGAGCUAAUACCGGAUAAUAUAUUGAACCGCAUGGUUCAAUAGUGAAAGACGGUUUUGCUGUCACUUAUAGAUGGAUCCGCGCCGCAUUAGCUAGUUGGUAAGGUAACGGCUUACCAAGGCAACGAUGCGUAGCCGACCUGAGAGGGUGAUCGUCCACACUGGAACUGAGACACGGUCCAGACUCCUACGGGAGGCAGCAGUAGGGAAUCUUCCGCAAUGGGCGAAAGCCUGACGGAGCAACGCCGCGUGAGUGAUGAAGGUCUUCGGAUCGUAAAACUCUGUUAUUAGGGAAGAACAAAUGUGUAAGUAACUAUGCACGUCUUGACGGUACCUAAUCAGAAAGCCACGGCUAACUACGUG
rnacentral:rRNA from 1 species